rnacentral:rRNA from 1 species
GAUGAACGCUGGCGGCGUGCCUAAUACAUGCAAGUCGAGCGAACAGACGAGGAGCUUGCUCCUCUGACGUUAGCGGCGGACGGGUGAGUAACACGUGGAUAACCUACCUAUAAGACUGGGAUAACUUCGGGAAACCGGGGCUAAUACCGGAUAAUAUAUUGAACCGCAUGGUUCAAUAGUGAAAGACGGUUUUGCUGUCACUUAUAGAUGGAUCCGCGCCGCAUUAGCUAGUUGGUAAGGUAACGGCUUACCAAGGCAACGAUGCGUAGCCGACCUGAGAGGGUGAUCGGCCACACUGGAACUGAGGCACGGUCCAGACUCCUACGGGAGGCAGCAGUAGGGAAUCUUCCGCAAUGGGCGAAAGCCUGACGGAGCAACGCCGCGUGAGUGAUGAAGGUCUUCGGAUCGUAAAACUCUGUUAUUAGGGAAGAACAAAUGUGUAAGUAACUAUGCACGUCUUGACGGUACCUAAUCAGAAAGCCACGGCUAACUACGUG